UACGGGGGGGGCAAGCGUUGUUCGGAAUUACUGGGCGUAAAGGGCUCGUAGGCGGCCAACUAAGUCAGACGUGAAAUCCCCAGGCUCAACCUGGGAACUGCGUCUGAUACUGGAUGGCUUGAAUCCGGGAGAGGGAUGCAGAAUUCCAGGUGUAGCGGUGAAAUGCGUAGAUAUCUGGAGGAACACCGGUGGCGAAGGCGGCAUCCUGGACCAACACUGACACUGAGGAGCGAAAGCCAGGGGAGCAAACGGG
rnacentral:rRNA from 1 species